UACGGAAGCAGCAGUGGGGAAUAUUGCACAAUGGGCGAAAGCCUGAUGCAGCUAUGCCGCGUGUAUGAAGAAGGCCUUAGGGUUGUAAAGUACUUUCAUCGGGGAGGAAAAAACAAAACUAAUAAUUUUAUUUCUUGACGUUACCCGAAAAAGAAGCACCGGCUAACUCCGUGCCAGCAGCCGCGGUAAUACGGAGGGUGCUAGCGUUAAUCAGAAUUACUGGGCGUAAAGAGCACGUAGGUGGUUUUUUUAAAGUCAGAUGUGAAAUCCCUGGGCUUAACCUAGGAACUGCAUUUUGAAACUGAAAUACUAGAGUAUCGUAGAGGGAGGUAGAAUUCUAGGUGUAGCGGUGAAAUGCGUAGAUAUCUGGAGGAAUACCUGUGGCGAAAGCGGCCUCCUAAACGAAUACUGACACUGAGGUGCGAAAAGCGUGGGGAGCAAACAGGGAUUAGAUACC
rnacentral:rRNA from 1 species